CCUACGGGGGGCAGCAGUGGGGAAUAUUGCACAAUGGGCGCAAGCCUGAUGCAGCCAUGCCGCGUGUGUGAAGAAGGCCUUCGGGUUGUAAAGCACUUUCAGCGGGGAGGAAGGCGGUGAGGUUAAUAACCUCAUCGAUUGACGUUACCCGCAGAAGAAGCACCGGCUAACUCCGUGCCAGCAGCCGCGGCAAUACGGAGGGUGCAAGCGUUAAUCGGAAUUACUGGGCGUAAAGCGCACGCAGGCGGUCUGUCAAGUCGGACGUGAAAUCCCCGGGCUCAACCUGGGAACUGCAUUCGAAACUGGCAGGCUAGAGGCUUGUAGAGGGGGGUAGAAUUCCAGGUGUAGCGGUGAAAUGCGUAGAGAUCUGGAGGAAUACCGGUGGCGAAGGCGGCCCCCUGGACAAAGACUGACGCUCAGGUGCGAAAGCGUGGGGAGCAAACAGGAUUAGAUACCCCGGUAGUC
rnacentral:rRNA from 1 species